rnacentral:rRNA from 1 species
AUGACCGGUGGCAGCGGCGGCAACUCGGGCAGACCAGGGCGACGAGGCUGCACUGUGGGUGUUCGUGUGCCUGGAGGAAGAAGGUUACGGUCGGACAAUUCCGAGAAUCAGACCUGCCAAUAUGAGAGGUUAAAUGCAAGAAACGAGAAUAAGAUCGGAUAUGAUUCGUACAUCAGGGCUCAAGAUAUGUGGUUUUGGAUUAUGGUAGGACUCAAGAUAUGUGACCUCCAAGGAAACUGCAAACUCAAGAUAUGUGGUCUUGGACUAGCAAGAUUUGCAUCCAGUGACACCCCUACAACAGUUUUCUGGAUGGAGCAGGACCAUGUCGCCACCUGA